rnacentral:rRNA from 1 species
AACGAACGCUGGCGGCAGGCUUAACACAUGCAAGUCGAACGAUGAACCCGGAGCUUGCUCCGGCGGAUUAGUGGCGAACGGGUGAGUAACACGUGAGUAACCUGCCCUUGACUCUGGGAUAACUGCGGGAAACUGUAGCUAAUACCGGAUACGACCCUCGGCGGCAUCGCCAGGGGGUGGAAAGAAUUUCGGUCAAGGAUGGACUCGCGGCCUAUCAGCUAGUUGGUGAGGUAACGGCUCACCAAGGCGACGACGGGUAGCCGGCCUGAGAGGGUAACCGGCCACACUGGGACUGAGACACGGCCCAGACUCCUACGGGAGGCAGCAGUGGGGAAUAUUGCGCAAUGGACGAAAGUCUAACGCAGCGACGCCUCGUGAGGGACGAAGGUCUUCGGAUUGUAAACCUCUUUCAGCAGGGACGAAGCGAAAGUGACGGUACCUGCAGAAGAAGCACCGGCUAACUAUGUGCCAGCAGCCGCGGUAA